rnacentral:rRNA from 1 species
GAUGAACGCUGGCGGCGUGCCUAAUACAUGCAAGUCGAGCGAAUGGAUUAAGAGCUUGCUCUUAUGAAGUUAGCGGCGGACGGGUGAGUAACACGUGGGUAACCUGCCCAUAAGACUGGGAUAACUCCGGGAAACCGGGGCUAAUACCGGAUAAUAUUUUGAACUGCAUGGUUCAAAAUUGAAAGGCGGCUUCGGCUGUCACUUAUGGAUGGACCCGCGUCGCAUUAGCUAGUUGGUGAGGUAACGGCUCACCAAGGCAACGAUGCGUAGCCGACCUGCGAGGGUGAUCGGCCACACUGGGACUGGGACACGGCCCAGACUCCUACGGGAGGCAGCAGUAGGGAAUCUUCCGCAAUGGACAAAAGUCUGACGGAGCAACGCCGCGUGAGUGAUGAAGGCUUUCGGGUCGUAAAACUCUGUUGUUAGGGAAGAACAAGUGCUAGUUGAAUAAGCUGGCACCUUGACGGUACCUAACCAGAAAGCCACGGCUAACUACGUGCCAGCCGCCGCGGUAA